rnacentral:rRNA from 1 species
UACAGAGGUCCCAAGCGUUGUUCGGAUUCACUGGGCGUAAAGGGUGCGCAGGUGGCGCUUCAAGUUUGAUGUGAAAGCUUCGGGCUCAACCCGGAAAUGGCAUUGAAUACUGGAGUGCUGGAGGUUUGGAGGGGGGACUGGAAUUCUCGGUGUAGCAGUGAAAUGCGUAGAUAUCGAGAGGAACACCAGUGGCGAAGGCGGGUCUCUGGGCCGAUACUGACGCUGAGGAGCGAAAGCGUGGGGAGCGAACAGG